rnacentral:sRNA from 1 species
UGAUAUCGAUGUAAGGCAUAGUUCGAUGC